UACGUAGGGGGCAAGCGUUGUCCGGAUUUAUUGGGCGUAAAGAGCGUGUAGGCGGCCGUACAGGUCAGCUGUGAAAACUCGAGGCUCAACCUCGAGACGUCGGUUGAAACCGUACGGCUAGAGUCCGGAAGAGGAGAGUGGAAUUCCCGGUGUAGCGGUGAAAUGCGCAGAUAUCAAGUGGAACACCAGUGGCGAAGGCGAGUCUCUGGACAUUUCCUGACGCUGAGGCACGAAAGCCAGGGGAGCAAACGGG
rnacentral:rRNA from 1 species